rnacentral:rRNA from 1 species
UACGUAGGGUGCAAGCGUUAAUCGGAAUUACUGGGCGUAAAGCGUGCGCAGGCGGCUUUGCAAGACAGAUGUGAAAUCCCCGGGCUUAACCUGGGAACUGCAUUUGUGACUGCAUGGCUGGAGCGCGGCAGAGGGGGAUGGAAUUCCGCGUGUAGCAGUGAAAUGCGUAGAUAUGCGGAGGAACACCGAUGGCGAAGGCAAUCCCCUGGGCCUGCACUGACGCUCAUGCACGAAAGCGUGGGGAGCAAACAGG